rnacentral:rRNA from 1 species
CCUACGGGUGGCUGCAGUGGGGAAUAUUGCACAAUGGGCGCAAGCCUGAUGCAGCCAUGCCGCGUGUGUGAAGAAGGCCUUCGGGUUGUAAAGCACUUUCAGCGGGGAGGAAGGCGGUGAGGUUAAUAACCUCAUCGAUUGACGUUACCCGCAGAAGAAGCACCGGCUAACUCCGUGCCAGCAGCCGCGGUAAUACGGAGGGUGCAAGCGUUAAUCGGAAUUACUGGGCGUAAAGCGCACGGAGGCGGUCUGUCAAGUCGGAUGUGAAAUCCCCGGGCUCAACCUGGGAACUGCAUUCGAAACUGGCAGGCUAGAGUCUUGUAGAGGGGGGUAGAAUUCCAGGUGUAGCAGUGAAAUGCGUAGAGAUCUGGAGGAAUACCGGUGGCGAAGGCGGCCCCUGGACAAAGACUGACGCUCAGGUGCGAAAGCGUGGGGAGCAAACAGGAUUAGAUACCCGGGUAGUC